rnacentral:pre_miRNA from 13 species
GCCGGUGAUCCUUGUGACUGCUGAGCUUCCCUUUGUCAUCCUAUGCCUGGAAGUCAAAAUGGGGCAGGGACAGCAAAGGGAUGAUCAACCGUCACCUCCAAC